rnacentral:lncRNA from 1 species
CCUCCCUGGUCCCCAGCUCCUGUGGCUUUCAGGAAGGAGAAGCCUCCACACUUGUCACCUGUGGUAACCCAACCCUGGUUGCCCACCCCAGCAGCUGCAGCCUUGAACAUCAUCCUCUGGACAGCAGGAUGCCCCUGUCCACUAUCUCCAUCCUGGCAUCAUCGUCAUAAGAACCAUCAUUUACUGAGAGUGUACUAUGUGCCAAGUGCUGUUCACACCUCAGUGCUCGUGCUGAUGACAACCCUGUGAGCUAGUCCUAGUUUUUCCGCAUUUCACAGCCAUGUGAUGCCAUCUCCUCUUCAUCCUCUGCCAUAAGUAAAAACUCGCUGAGGCCUCACUAGAUGCAGAUGCUGGUGCCAUGCUUCUUGUACAGCCUGCGGAACCAUAA